rnacentral:rRNA from 1 species
AUUGAACGCUGGCGGCAUGCCUUACACAUGCAAGUCGAACGGUAACAGGUUAAGCUGACGAGUGGCGAACGGGAGAGUAAUAUAUCGGAACGUGCCCAGUCGUGGGGGAUAACGUAGCGAAAGCUACGCUAAUACCGCAUACGAUCUACGGAUGAAAGCGGGGGAUCGCAAGACCUCGCGCGAUUGGAGCGGCCGAUAUCAGAUUAGGUUGUUGGUGAGGUAAAAGCUCACGAAGCCCGCGACCUGUAGCUGGUCUGAGAGGACGACCAGCCACACUGGAACUGAGACACGGUCCAGACUCCUACGGGAGGCAGCAGUGGGGAAUUUUGGACAAUGGACGCAAGUCUGAUCCAGCAAUGCCGCGUGCAGGACGAAGGCCUUCGGGUUGUAAACUGCUUUUGUACGGAACGAAACGGUGAGCUCUAAUACAGUUUGCUAAUGACGGUACCGUAAGAAUAAGCACCGGCUAACUACGUGCCAGCAGCCGCAGUAA